CUGACCUUAGCUCACUUGGUAGUGUGGAGGACUGUAGAUUCUUAGGUCGCUGGUUCGAAUCCGACAGGUAGGA
rnacentral:tRNA from 1 species